rnacentral:lncRNA from 1 species
UAUCAUAUGACAUCAGUACUUCCUAAAAUUGAUCUGUGUGGGCUGGGGUUUUGUUUUGUUAUUUGUUUGUUUGUCUGUUUGUUUUUUGAGCUUGCUUUGUCUGCAGGGGAAUUCGUAUUCUCCAGGACUGGGACUGUGGCCAUUCUGAAGCUGGGUGGAGAGAAGCAUGUUCACGAAUGUGGCUCUCAGUCAAGUUUUUCAUAACCGAAAUUAAAAAGCUAUGUACAAAUUAAAGAAGCUACAUAGAAACUCCUGGGAUAUGUAGGAAGAUGACCUUUCUUUCAUUAAAUGGAAAUUUUACUUUUGCCUAUACUAUAUAUUUUUGUUUCAAGAUUGUUUUUAAAACAACAAAGAUUUCUUUU